ACACAUCCAGACCAACGUAGAGAGGACACAGGAUUAUGUGGCUGCCUCUAAUGAGAAGUUCAAGUUGGCCGCCAGAUACAAGAGGAAAAACCCACUUCGACAGCUGUGCUGCUGCUGCUGCCCUCCCUGGAGAUGCUGCUUAUAAAACAUAUGCAUUAUACCUCAAUGGUCAUUCCAAAUAAGGUUUUUAUUUCAAAAGUCUUACUUACCUGUUUGGGGACAAGCAAUGUUGGAUUCAAGUACCAUUAAAGUGAAGGUUAUGGUACUGUGGUUUUUGCUGUUGAACAGAACGACGGUGAAGACAGAUUCAGCAGAGCAUAGAAAACAAUUAGGGGGAAAGGCCAGAAUUGGUAUUUGAGGCACUUGUUUCUUUCAAGUGGAUGUGAGGCGACUGCUAUUGGAAGAGACAGUUCAGUGAGUGCUACUCACCAACACUGCUGCUUAUUGGAGACCUUCACUGUCAUCUGACAGAGGUCACAAACAAGGGGAGACCACUGCCUUUGCCACUGCCACUGCCAGAUCAGCAAGACUGAUAUUUCACCAUUUUUUUAUUUUAUUUUAUUUUUUUCAAAAGAGCCUCUCAUAUUCUUUCUGCCUCAGGAGCUCUAGUUAAUGACCAUUUAUUUUUUAUACAGUAUGUGCACUUUAAGACUUCUCCAUCUUUUUUCUCUCUAUUCUUUUCAGCACAAACGUAUGUUAGAACUUAACAUAGUGGAGAAAGAUUUUCAGCCAUUAUGUAUUCAUUUCAUUUUUGGUCCGCAUGCUGAUGAAAAAAAAAAACUUGUUUUACAAUUAGUCAUUAGUCUCAUUUGCAUUUCAAAGUAUGAUCCUUUUCGGUGAAAAAAAUAUUAUUGCUUCAUUCGGUUUCACAGAGACAAGGAUUCAAGUAAAACUUUGAAUAACGAGUCAUGAUCAAACUAUUUUUUGUCACGGUGACAGCUGCAGAAAAUCAUUGAAGUUAUUUGUUUAAAAGUCAAAAAGAAAGAACAUUUUAUGUCCUACAUUUCAGGAAAUAUUUAAAGAAUUAAUUUAUAUUUUGGAGUGGAAAUUCAAUGUAUUGAAACUGUUACAUUUCAGAUGAAAAGCUCUGGCAUUCACGUGUAUCAUUAUUAUUAAAAUACCUGUCACAUAAAAAGGGAGCAGUGGCUCUAAAUCUGGCGAAAAGCUCUCGUCUGAGGGAGUACCAGCACUAUGGAAUAAAAUACGUUGUAUGGCAAUAUGUUGUAUUACUGAUCAACAUACUUACACCAGUUGACAGGUAAUCAUCUCCCGUUUCACCUUGUACUUAAUGUCGAGUCGAAAAUACCAGCUCAUUUUCCCUGCUGGGAUAAUGACUAAGAUGUAGGCUAAUAAGUCAGUAAUUCAUCUGAGGAGAUACAGUCACCCGCUUAUUGGCAGAAAGGCUCUAUACUAGCUUCUCAUCAGUACUCACAGUGAUGGUCUUUAGUGACUCAGUGACCCAUGGUGUCUGGUGUCCGGGACAAAAUACAGGUGAACUGGGCGUGCCAGAGCCAGACUGGAAAAUCUGGUUUGUCUGCCGUUCCAGGGUAGCUCCCAGACAGCUACUGUGUGUACAGUGUGUAAACAGAACCGUUACCUUAUCGCAUAUGGUAAGAAGACCCACCAUGGUUAAAUAGUCUUCUUUUUCAAUAAAAUGACUGCCAGGCCCACAAAAAAUGUAAAACAUAUUGAGCAUUUUAACUUCAGCUUGACAGACAACCAUAAGAAUGCCCCAAAAUGCCGUUUUUGUAAGUCAGUUUAGUCGCCUCUCCAGGGAUUGAUAAGUCAUAGGAUCCUAAAGAAACACACCUGUCAAUGCGGUGCUUUACUUAGGUUAACUAUCAUAUACACUGUUCCCUCAGGUCUCGUAGAGGAACGAGGUGUGAUGUGAGAGGUGAUGAGUUGCGCUAUCUGACUGGAAAAGUCUUUCCCUGAAUCUGUGUUAUAAAUCAGUCUCACUCUGAUUAGAAUUAUAUUUUGAAACAAAGACAUAAAUAUAUCAAAUAUGUAAAUUUGAAUAUGUAAAUCAAAUAGCAAUAUACUGUAAUUCAGCACAGCAUAGUUUCUGCCUCCUCCCAGACACAGUGAAGAAAAAUGAAGUGCCGCUGCAAAUUGCAGGGUUCUUGAACAGCAACAAUGCCAUCCAGUGUUCAGUGAGAUAAUUGCCAGUUAAGCAAUAGGUUAUCACUUGAUGUUUAAACCGUUAAAGGCCAUAUUACCACAUAAAUAUGUAAUUAUGGAAGUGUCAUACUUGGAAAACAUAACUACACAGUGUGGAUUUCACUCCCAAAAGUUCUUAGAAUGAAAAUAGAGAUAUUGUUGUUGAGCCAUUAACAGCUCAUGGAGGUCUUUACUCAAAGCAAAAAGAAAGAAAAGAAGAAUACAUUUUUAUUUUGAUCUGUUACACAGUACACACUGUUUACUGCUCCAUAGACAAUGAAAAUAUAUUUUUCUCCUCCACAAAAGUGAGACAAUCUCUCUCUCUCUCUCUCUCUCUCUCUCUCUCUCUCUCUCUCUCUCUCUCUCUCUCUUUCUCUCUCUCUUCUCUCUCUCUCUCUCUCUCUCUCUCUCUCUCUCUCUCUCUCUCUCUCUCUCUCUCUCUCUCUCUCUCUCUCUCUCUCUCUCUCUCUCUCUCUCUCUCUCUCUCAUAAAUGAAUAUAGAGCGAGGUCUGACAUGCAGCAUAUUCAUAGCCACCAUCACAAAGACACCUGGGAAUAAAUGGACAUGGGAAAGCUAUAAGAUUAAAUUAAGUUGAAUUUCUCCAAAUACACUAACAGCAGAGCAGCAGGGAUCUAUGAGAGUGUGCAGUCCUGAAAGAAACCUUCUGGGGUUUAUAUUGGUCGUCCUUGAGAACACCAGGCCAUGGGAGACUGCACAGUGGUCAGCUCAGAUACCUCUGGACAUCUGACCCCCAGGCACGUCAGCCAGAGUCACCCCGAGCAGGUCAGCCAGAGUCACUGGCAAUUUUCCCAAAACUCUCUCUCUCUCAGUGUAAGGCAGAGUUCCGCUGUGGAUUCAUCUUGUUUACCCCCAGCUCCGAAGUUGUUAUCCAGUAUUUCAUCUGAAACCACCUAGCCGGGAGCUAUCAGGAGUAUGUUCCUGUUCCUCGCUGAAUCAGAUUUAACCUUCGACUCUGAGACCAUCUUUGUGUUUUGACUAGCUGCACUAACCAACUCUGCACAUACAGAACACCUGUUCCAAGAUGCGAUGACCUGAAGGCAACAAGGCAUUCUAAUUUACUUUGCACUGAAACUUGGCCAUAUUUCUUACAGGUUUUGGAUGAUAUUUUGUUUUUUCUCACCUUGGCCAACUUUAUGCCUUCUUUCUUGACUUCUGAAUUAUAUUAAUGUGGUAUUUCAUGUAUUUCUGAAUUUCUGAAACACAUAUCAUUAAUCACUCAUCAUUGUGUGGUUGUGUACUGAACUUCUGAAAAGGGUAAAUGAAUGUAACAGGCUCUGGAUUUGUAGAUUUGUAGAGCAUAACAGACAAUGUUACCUUUAUUUCCAUCCAUCUAUCUUAAUAUAAAAGCUGCUCAUAUCAAUACAGUCGUGCUGAUGCAGGUUAGGUAAUAAGGGAAGAUUACUGUAAUGCAGUGUUGAAUUACGGCUUUUUAUUAGGUAAGUAACUCAUGCAAUUUUCAUUUUUGUACAUGUACUUACAGCAACCACAUAUUCAUAGUGAGUGCCUCUGCCCACUUUCCAGACGAAGCCCAUCAAUCAUCUCUGAUUUAACGAUAAUGUGAAUAUCUGAGACACGUGAGAGUUUAUCACGCUGAUCAUGGCUGACAGAAGAAAUACCUCCAGUACGUAGUCACACACAGACGUCACUGUAUCUCUAUCUGCCCUGUCAGUCACAACCUAGAUCCCAAAGUCUCUCUCCAAAUGUCUGAACAACAUCAAAGCAGCCCUCCUGUGAGUAACACCAGCUGUGGUUAUAGAGAGCUGACAUUACUUUACUGCCUGUUUUUAUCACUCCCAUCAAAAUCUGAACAGAGAGAUAUCAGGACCCUCAGAAAGUGAUAAAUCAAAGAAAUAGUACAGUGAGUCUGGCAACGGCAGUAGUAGGAAGAAUACCGACAAUAAUCCAAUGGUUACACUGAUUUAGUAACUUGCUACACUUGACCAGGUGAUUUUAAACAAACCACCUCCAUACAGCAGGUACAGUGCUGCUGGAGCACACCGGAACAACACAACAGCACAACGUUUUUUCACCAAGUGAGAAAAAUACAGUAUUUGCAGUUGCCAUAAUCGAGGUGAAAUUCAGAACCAAUAAAAUGGUCGAAGUUGACAUUUAAGUUAUUCAUUCAUGACGUCAACUCGUGCUUUGAGUGACAGGCAAGAAGAGUGGCCAGUAGUCUGUAACUAGCCAACAUCAACUAGUAUAGAGGAAAAGGCACUAAAACAUCUUUUCAUUCAUCAUUCACUCUUCUGACAGUUUAUUUGUGAUGCAUUUGCAAAGAAACAUUACAAAACUAGACAGUUAAACAAUACGCCUCGCCUAUUAGAUGAUCUUUAUUUGUCUGCACUACAAUUUUACCUCAAUGGAUGUUCUGAAUGCAGCAUCAUUUGCUUGGCACGAGUAAAUUAAAUCAUUCAAAAGACAAA